rnacentral:piRNA from 1 species
UCCUCUACAGCCCAACAGGAAUGCAUCAUC